rnacentral:rRNA from 1 species
GAGUGAACGCUGGCGGUAGGCCUAACACAUGCAAGUCGAACGGCAGCACAGUAAGAGCUUGCUCUUACGGGUGGCGAGUGGCGGACGGGUGAGGAAUACAUCGGAAUCUACUUUUUCGUGGGGGAUAACGUAGAGAAACUUACGCUAAUACCGCAUACGACCUACGGGUGAAAGCAGGGGAUCUUCGGACCUUGCGCGAUUGAAUGAGCCGAUGUCGGAUUAGCUAGUUGGCGGGGUAAAGGCCCACCAAGGCGACGAUCCGUAGCUGGUCUGAGAGGAUGAUCAGCCACACUGGAACUGAGACACGGUCCAGACUCCUACGGGAGGCAGCAGUGGGGAAUAUUGGACAAUGGGCGCAAGCCUGAUCCAGCCAUACCGCGUGGGUGAAGAAGGCCUUCGGGUUGUAAAGCCCUUUUGUUGGGAAAGAAAAGCAGCAGGUUAAUACCCCGCUGUUCUGACGGUACCCAAAGAAUAAGCACCGGCUAACUUCGUG